GGCUGUGUGGCCUAGUGGUAUGAUUCUCGCUUCGGGUACGAGAGGUCUCGAGUCCGAUUCUCAACACAGCCC
rnacentral:tRNA from 1 species